UUCCUGUGCCAGUCUGGGCCUCAGGCGGUGGGAGCAGACAUCCAAGCUCUCCGAUCUGAACGAACAAUGUUUGCAGAGACACUUGGUGCCCUUAGACACCAGUGGCUGCACCUCCAGAGGCAGCUGGAGAGCCAGAUUCAAUGGAGCUGAACAGAUGCAGCACACUUGUGCAGCCAGAGAAAGGCGGUUACAGCAUCUUCAUGGGUGGAUAGAGCAGCAGAAAAAGCAACUGAGUCAGUGGGAACAACCGACCAGUCAAACUGUCGCUCGUAAGGCCCUGCUAGAGUGGGAGGCUGUUGUAGGCAGAGUGAAGGGGGUGGCUGCAGCUUUGCAGGAGUUGAAAGCCACACGAGCUCAUGCUGAAAAGGAAGAGGAGCACCCCUGUGAUAUCACGUUCUGGAACCAGGCAGAGAGUGUCAGUCAUGCCUGUGAGGAUCUUAGUCAACAGAUGGAAGCUCUGAGACCAGCUCUACAACAGACUGUCACAGAGUGGAGUUGUUUUGACAGAGAUCUGAGGGAGGUUACUC